GAUGAACGCUGGCGGCGUGCUUAACACAUGCAAGUCGAACGGAAAGGCUCCUGCUUGCCGGGGUACUCGAGUGGCGAACGGGUGAGUAACACGUGGGUGAUCUGCCCUUCACUUCGGGAUAAGCCUUGGAAACUGGGUCUAAUACCGGAUAGGAUCUCAUUUUGGAUGGUGUGGUGGAAAGUUUUUCGGUGUGGGAUGAGCUCGCGGCCUAUCAGCUUGUUGGUGGGGUAAUGGCCUACCAAGGCGUCGACGGGUAGCCGGCCUGAGAGAGUGUACGGCCACAUUGGGACGGAGAGACGGGCCGGACUAGUGCGGGAGGCAGCAGGGGGGAAAAUUGGACAAAGGGAGCAAGCCUGAGGCAGCGAGGCCGCGUGGGGGAUGACGGCCUUCGGGUGGUAAACUCCUUUGGCUAGGGAAGAAGCGAUUUUGUGACGGUACCUGGAGAAGAAGCACCGGCUAACUACGUG
rnacentral:rRNA from 1 species